AGACCCAUCUGGUGGCCCUGUGCUCUUGCUCAGUUCUCACUGGGGAGGCCCAGCAAGUCCAGUGGCCGCCCCUUCCCCUUUCUUCUUCCCCUUGGUCUGGGCAUCUUUUAGGGGCUCCUGCCAGCUGGACGCUGCUGGGAGCUUCCCUUAUGUUGUUUCACUUUUAACACUAUGACUGGGUUGAGGUUCAAUCUGCUAGAUGAAUUGCUGAGGUUCAGAGAGGGGAAGGCACUUGCCCUGGGCCACACAGCAGGGGUGACAGAGCUGAGUUUGAAGCAGAGCAUUCUGGGCACUGACUAGCCAGCAUAUGGCUGGAAAGGUAAGUCAAGGGGCAAGCUGCCUCUGGGGCUGCCGGUGCCAACCCUGUGUGCCCGCCACCUGGACUGGGAUUCUCGGCUGAGUCUCAUUCCCAGUUUGGUGCCAGACAUGGGAAGGUGUUUGAGUCCCAAAUGAGCCCCUUGAGCUGCUCGUGGCCACAGAGGCCUUAGGGUCCUGUGCCCAGGGGCUGUUAUGGAUCUCGCGUUGGGUGCAAGUGCCCUUCUGAGGCUGGGGGCAGCUGGGCCAGGAGCGGGCAGAGCAGCCGCACUGCCCUUGGCGGGGCAAGCUGGCUGGGCAGCAGAGGCCGCUCUUCUGGCUGCUCGAGGUCAGGGUCCCUUCUCAGGUGCUGGGCAGGCCCGCCCCUCUCCUGCUCAGCCCCACCUCAGUAGGGAAAGCCGGAUGGUUUGGGUCCCCCUCUUCAGUUCUGAGCACUUGAGGGACAGCAAACUGAACGGUGAACAGGAGAAGCCGUACCCUGAGGCCCUGCCUGGAGUCUGCAAACUCCACGUGGGGCUCGUGGUGACCUGGGAUCACAUGGCUCUUCUGAGUGGCCUCUAGCACCUGUGUGCCAUGCAGCAUCAGUAGGUGGCCCUCCAGCUGCAGGGUGACCCAGGGUGGGAUGUCCCAGGGGAAAGAACAAGUAAAACAAGAGCCGCUGCUUACUGUCCUGGAGCCCAGGCCGCGGGCUGGGGGCACGCCCGGCUGGCAGCCCUGGGAGGGGAGGACGGAGCGAGGGGUGACCAGGCCCCUCUGAGCCCCAAGGUGCUCUCCCUCCCAGCCCCGCUCAGCACACAGGUGUGGGGCGCCUCUCCCCACCCACCGCUGCCGCCUCCUCCUCCCCAGACACCGGAGCACCACCCCCGGGCCAUGCACCGGCAGGAGCAGAGGAACCAGGGCCAGCCAGGCGGCCCUUGCUCUUCCUGUAUCCCUGUCCCUCCCUGUCCCGGGACCGCAGUUCUGCACAUGCCAGACUUAGGAAGCGUCCAAGGAGGCCGGAGAACCAAGCCCCCGCACCAAGCCCCGCACCGGGUGAAGGCGCAGCUGGAAGUUGGCCCCCUCCUGGCUGCAUGGCUCUGGGGAAAGGCCCCGCUGCCCCAUCUGUGAAAUGGGAGGACAGCGGGCCUGACACCGUGGGCCUUACUGCAAAGGCCAGUCCCCGUAGUGUGGGCAACAGCUGGCCAAGUGUCUGGCACGCCAGGACACAGGUUGGCCUUGAACUCGCAAUCCUCUUGCCUCAGCCUCCAUAACACAGCUCCAUAACACAGCUGGGGUUACAGGCAGCUCAACGGCCCAGGGCCCUUUAUCAGGCUCCAGAAAGACAGGAACCCUCCAGCCCUCCCUCCCUAAAGCGGCCAGAGCCUCUGCCUGCCCCUGGGUGUGCCCGCUGGGAUGGUGGGGGGCAGAGGACCCUAGGCCACGGUGGCAGAACCCUGGACUGCCUUGGGCUCUCCUGCCCAGCAGGGCAAAGGGCAGCCAGCACACCCCCCCACACCCCGCCCAGGGCCCCGGAGCAGGGAAACUUGCCCACCUGCAGAGGACCCUCGACUCCUCCCUCCAGUGCUAAGUGGCGCGCCUGUUGGGACUCCUCACACUGCGGGGUCCAAAUCUGCCCAGUAGCCCAGGAGGCCCUUCUGCCUGGUGUCACCCACCCUGAUGUGAGCCCUGGAGCAGUCUCAACUCAAACUGAACUCAACUCCCAACGUGUCACUAACAUUCUUCUGGAACUCAGUGUGUCCAUCUGUCACCUGGGGAUGACGAGAAUGCCUGAUUCCUGUGCCGCAGUAAAGAUCCACUGAGACCAGUUCGCCCCCCAGUGAGCGCAGGUCAGGACAGACGCUGCCCAGGCCUGGUGGGGACAGAGGUAGGAGGAGGUGGAGACAGUCCUCGAGGUCUUGGAAGGAGGCCCAGGGGGUGAUGCAGCUUCGACAUGCACCCGUACCCUCUGGGGAGCUGGUUAAGAUGCAGACUCCCGGGCCCCCCUGCCCAGCCUGAGAUGGCUGGGGUCGGUGUUAGCUGGCCAGAGGGUUCCAGGGCAAGUGGUCCUGGAGUCACCCUUACCCCGGUCUAGGCUUCGCAGUCCUAGGAGAGCUGGCACACUCCCAGAGGAAAGAGCUUUAAAAGCUCCACACCAACGGGACCUUCCUCCUCCUGAGGAUAUGCAGGCCUCAGCCCUGGGGAGGCACCAAUGGGGCGGGAGCCUGUGUUCCCUACAGAGUCAUACCCAUCUCCAUGGCAGUGGCACCCCCUGUACAUGUGAGCAUUCUUUAUGACACCUGGCCAUAGAACACCAGAACGGCUAAACCACCUGUUCCCGGGCAAUGAAUCUGCCAAGAAAAGCACUAGUGGCUGCACCUUGCUUCAAAACUAAUGGCUGAUUUUUGGAGAGUAUCUGGACAAUUCCUUUAGAUCACAGGUUGGCCAACUUCCAUAAAGGGCCAGACAGUGAAUAUUUUCACUUCUGUAGGCAGACAGCAUCUGUUGCCAACUACUCAACUCUGCCACUCUGGGCGAAAGCACCCGUAAACAGUAAGGAAACAAAUGAGCAGGCUGUGUGCCAAUAAAACUUUAUUUCUAGC